UGCCCAUUGUGUCAUCAACUCAAAUGUAAACUGCGUGAGGAAUGCUCUCUCCUACAAAUCAAUAGGACAUUAUAAGAAAAGGCUUCCUUUAUAUAAGGAAUGGACACAUAUUCUGCCCACAGAAGAAAGAAAACAUGACCCCUGCCCUCAUGAAUCUAUACCAAAGAUCUAGCACCUCCAAAGAGGAGAUAUAAUGGUCAAAGCGAUAGAAUGCAGCCCAUCAUCCCUCUUGUCCUGCUUUGUGGGGACAAUCAUGGAGAUCAAAGAGUUGGAGGCUAUAAUAAGUUGAAUUAUUUUGUGGGGGAAUAUGAAAACAAACAGUCCAAGUUUUUGUUUCAAGCAUCCACAUAAUGAAAAUUAAGUUCAUUUUCAGAUGACCACAAUGGAAUAGUAACUACUGGAGAAAAACAAACCUCACAAUACUAUUUGGGUUCAAGUUUCACUGUGGUACAGCUUGCUCUCACCAUGGUUAACUGAUAAGGCUUGAAGAAACACGUGUAAAAUUCUUCUUCCUGAAACCAAAGCUGUCAAUGCCAUCUGGUAUGAGUAAGAAGAUAUUACAACUUGCUACUAAAGGAGAAAUUAAUUGCUUGUCUAAAGAUACUCCUGCACUGACAAAAAGAGAACAGGUGUGAAUGGAAGUUAUCCAUUGGAGUGAUGGAAGAAAUGGAAGCAUUUCUGUAUCUUCACAGAAAGUAACAGCAAUUAAAAAGUUUCAAGACAAAAAUGAAAUAUUUUGACAGACUAAUCCCUAUGAUAGUUUCCUCUCUUCCUACUUGUUACCCCCUUCACAGUUACAUUAAUCCAUUGAUAUGGGGAGGAUGAUGAACAGUUACUUUUGCCCCCCAUUUCUGCCAGUCCCAAAGAAAUCAGUGCCUAUUCGAAAAACUUUCAGUGAAACUGAUGUAAAGGUUAUCUGAUUUCCCAAGCUUUUGUUCUGAAUGUUUUUGUUCAAGUGCAAAUAGUUGAAAACUUUUGUUAUAAAAUUUUAAAGUCAAUUAAGUACAAACCAUUUAAGUACCUUGGCUUGGAUAGAACCAGUAACCAAGUGCUUGUUAUCAUUGAUGUUUAUGUUAAGUAAAUCCUGCAACUCUUCAAGAUCUGUGACUGUGAC